CCCCAUACCUAUCUUUUGCUCGUCCUCGAGUAAAAAUCAAAAGAAAAGAAAAUAAACUAAGAAAACUAGAUGCGAUUCCUAGGCUCCUUUUCGUAGGCGUGACGGGUGAUUUUAGGUUCACCAACCCGUUAAACUCGUAGACGAUCUCUACAAGAGGAGUUUUGUCUCCUAAGGGUUUACAGAAGAUAUACCCAUAAAAUCUUCGAGACAUUCUAGCAAGUGUCUACUCGACUCUACUCUAAUUUCGUUGGUGUUAACAAAAAGCGUUUUUAAGGAAAAUACGACUUAAAGACUCAUUUACUAAUAAUCAAGAUACAGUUCUCUCUAAUCUACUUGCAUCGACACAAAGAUUUACUAGAAAUCCAAGGAGUGUAAAUAAUUUAAGGCCUUUGAUGGAUCCUAAUUGUCUAAGAACAUUUUCUCUUUUUCAACCAAUUUUGAACUGACCCAAUCUCUAUCGAAACAAAUAUCUAGCCAAACUUCACAAACUCUUAUUCUUCUCUCUCUCUUUCCAAAUAUCUAGCCAAACUUCACAAACUUCUUAUUUCUUUUCCUUUCUUUCUUUUUUUCCUUUUUUCGCUUUUUUUUUUGCAUUGACUUUAUUUUGUCCGUUUUCUUAGGCAAACAAUGUUACCCAUGUAGCGAGCUUUAGGUCAGUGACUCCCAAACCAAACGG
rnacentral:lncRNA from 1 species